GACGAACGCUGGCGGCGUGCUUAACACAUGCAAGUCGAACGAUGAAGCUGGAGCUUGCUCCGGUGGAUUAGUGGCGAACGGGUGAGUAACACGUGAGUAAUCUGCCCUUGACUCUGGGAUAACUGCGGGAAACUGUAGCUAAUACCGGAUACGACACCUUCGGGCAUCCGAUGGGUGUGGAAAGAAUUUCGGUCAAGGAUGAACUCGCGGCCUAUCAGCUAGUUGGUGAGGGAAUGGCUCACCAAGGCGACGACGGGUAGCCGGCCUGGGAGGGUGACCGGCCACACUGGGACUGAGACACGGCCCAGACUCCUACGGGAGGCAGCAGUGGGGAAUAUUGCACAAUGGGCGAAAGCCUGAUGCAGCAACGCCGCGUGAGGGAUGAAGGCCUUCGGGUUGUAAACCUCUUUUAGUUGGGAAGAAGCGAAAGUGACGGUACCAACAGAAAAAGCACCGGCUAACUACGUGCCAGCCGCCGCCGUAA
rnacentral:rRNA from 1 species